rnacentral:lncRNA from 1 species
AAUGAAGUUCCUAAUUUAAGUAAAUUCAUUUAUCAUAAAUAAAAUCAUUUAUUGUACACUUACUGUGGUAAAAUUUCUAAAACUAACAUAUAGAGACAAUAACACAACAAUAUCAUAAUUUUAUUUCAAUUAAUCAAAACAACAACUUUCUCUUUUAACCUGUCUACUGGUAUCCAUGGGGGUCCAUAGAGAUGCCCCCACUACAUGUGAACCCUUAUUCAACAUUAUUAAUUAACCGGUCGUCCUCAUACCUCGUCCGAUAUGAGCACCAAAAAUAUCAUCCCUCAAUACCAUGUCCGUUAUGAGGGUGAAACAGGCUAUCUCCAUACCCCGUCUAGUAUGAGCGCCAAAAAUACCAAUUUUCGAUACCUCGUCUGAUAUGAGACAAUGUUCACGGUAGGGUUCUCUAUAUACCCAAUCUGUCCACCAUCUUUCAGGAUAUUCAAUAAGUCUAACAUUCAUUCAUUCACUUAAGCAAAUAAUUUUCUAUUUACAUCUAAUAUCUAGUUUCACAAUUUAACUGUAAAUCACGCAAAACAAGCAAUAGAUGCAU